UAAAACUAACCAAUUCUCUCU
rnacentral:piRNA from 1 species